ACAACAGGGUUUUGCCCUUAGUACGGCGAGUGGGCGGCAACAGCUCAAAUUUGAAAUCUGGCUCCUUCCGGGUCCGAGUUGUAAUUUGGAAAGGAUGCUUUUGGCGCGGCCCCCAUCUAAUUGCCCUGGAAGGGGCCCCCUGAGAGGGGGAAAACCCCGUAUGGGGGGGGGCGUCCCCGCCCGUGUGAAGCUCCUUCAACGAGUCGGGUUGUUUGGAAAUAA
rnacentral:rRNA from 1 species